ACUCGGGCAAUCGUCAAUGUCCC
rnacentral:siRNA from 1 species